rnacentral:tRNA from 1 species
AAGGUCUUAAGUUAAUAAAACUAUUAGCCUUCAAAGCUGAAAAUGAAAUAAUGACAUUUUAGGUCUUA